GCCACUGCCCUUUUCCACCCAUCAUCGCCGCCCUCUUCGACGCAUCACGGCCGCCCUCUUCCACCCAUCGCCGGCGCCCCAUAAGAGCUGCUCCACGCCGCCACCAGCCAUACAUCGUGUGUCGCCGUCUCUUCCCCACGGUCCCCUUCUUCCCUCUCCGCCGCCUCUUUCAGAUCAUUGAGAAGCUCCACGUCGCCACGCCGGACAACACGCGCAGUGCCCUCCUGGUAACACGUUAGAAGACCACGACUUUGUGCCCCUCUGAAUCAUGUCGGCGCCACAUCUUCUUCUUCAACUCGGACAUCCCACCGCCGUGUCGCCGAUAUCGUCCGCGAGCAAAUCCUAGCAAAAAUUCCAUAUCCACCCUGAGAUCCUGACCAGCCCGCCCGCUGAUGCAGACGGAGGCGCGGGUGGGCGGUGUGGUUGUCGACUGCCGGGGCAUCGACCGCUAGAAUCAGCAACGUCGGCACCGCCACCGUGGCGCAUCUCGCUGCUGAGGGGUCGCGUGGACGUUAUUGGGGAACUUAGUGCUGGAGUGGGAAAUUCUCAUAAAGAUUUGGGAGCUGAAAAAGUACGGGAUAAACUUUGGGGUUGGACCAAACUCAUCAGGAAUUAAAGAGUUUAUGUGAGGGGCUGGCCCGUGGUGGAGGUGUGUGAGCAGCCCAUCCCCGGCCUAUGUGAUGAGCAUGUCCACGUCUCCCAACCUGCAGGAUGCCACUUCUCAACACCAAGCUCCAGCUGGUUCUUGUUUAGCGGUUGGCAACAUAGAAUUUUGUCGACGUACGGCUUGGGCUUGGAAAUUUUGCCAACAUAAAAUUUUGACAAUUUCAUGAUGAAGCAAGAGCGGGUACGGACAAAUCUUCUUCAGCCUUGUAAUUUAGUUACAGUUGAAUUAAACCAUUUAGCUCUAGACCAGAAUAACUUUUUGUUUCUAUUUUUUGUGCGGCUUCAUCAAAUCAUUAGGUAGUAAGCUGCAGACCUCGGUUUUGUUGUUGUCAUGUAGUCGCUAUUGUGACUUACUUUUGGAAAAGGAGCUAAUGGUGUUAUGCAUUUCAUCAUUUUAGACAUCUUUCAUAUCACUUAGUCGAUAUAAUUAUGAUAUAUGAAAUAUCCAGGUGCUAACAUAAGUGAUCGGAAGCCUGCAGCAUGUGCAAUGUGUGGUCUUUUGUUACAGUUGAUCAGCUACGUGGCCAUCAGAUUACAGUUUUGGAGGUUUGAUAGUGUGCUUGAGCGGGGAUACCACACUUCCUAUCUUUAAUGGAUGGGAAUGUAUUGUCAAUUGGAUGUGCUCUGUGAAACUAAGACAAAGGUAUAUCUAAAAUACCAGCUAAAUGGAUGCCUAUCUGUAUAUGUUCUAUUUCUAAAGAAAAAUGGUGCUAUCAUUUCUUUCCUAACAGAAAAUUCAAAGCUCAAUGGUGUAUCUUAUAGUCAUUUUGUGUGGGUUUUAAAUCACAUGAAUCUUUGUACAUUAGUGCAUCUAAAUAUACUCAGGGAGUCGUUUUGGGAGUAUGGGGAGAGUUAGAGCUUUCAACAUGCAUGUCAUCUUAACUCUAUGAAGUCCUUUAUUUGAAAAAAAAUCAUUCUGAAAAAUAAGUUGUUCUUCUCUCUCUAUAGUUCAAUGAAAAGAUGGAAUUGUUACCUGCAUAUUAUUGUUCGUUGAUGAAAUUGCCUUAUUCGGCUAAAGAGAAAUUGGACUGAUAUCAUCAAGCUGGAAAAGUUUUUGUGUCGUCCCUUGGUCAGAAUAUCAAUGUUUAAACAUGUUGAAGUUUUCCAGUUAACCUGAUGUAGGUUUCUUCAUUUUGUUAGUCAGAAUUAUCCAGGUAGCUGGUUAUGUAUGCAGACUGGGUACUGCAUGCGAAACAAAUUGGAUACACAUGAUCUGCUGGCUUGGCGUUUGUAUAAUUAUAGGCAUGCAAAAUCAAGGAUGGGUCUAGAUCCACAUAUGGAUAGACUAGAUGUAUGACAAAGUAAAGUUUGAAGAACGACAUUUUUUAGCAAAACAUGUCGUUUUAGAAAGAAACAAGGGUUUUAACCACCUUAAAGUGUUAAAAGGAGAUGUGAUUGCAAUUCUUUUGGUACUGUUACAAAGUUAUUACUCCCUCCUAUCCAACUUUAGUACAAAGUUGUACUAAAGCUACAUCUUGAAUUAGGGGGAGUACUUAUUUUCUUACAUAUAUAUAUUGUCUUCCAAGCUGGGAAGAUACUUUCAGCUAUUAAGUUCAUAAAGUGUUCCUUAAAUCUGGGAAGAAAUUUUCAUCUGACAUAACGAUCCAAAUCUAUAUUGCCUUGCAUAUUGUUCUUGCAGGAAGAAUAGACUGGAAGUUUUUAGUGAUCGCCCUGCCGAAAUGUGAACUCUUACUCGGGCGGAAACUAUAUCACUUUUUAUUUUGCCUUCGGGAAGUAGAUAUGUGGCACUCUGAUCUGCACAUGGACAUAAGCCAAUAUUCAAGAUCAUAGCUCUGUUGUGGACGUGAUGGAAGACAAGGAGCAAGAUAAAUUCUAGGGAAGGCGUCCUAAAAAUAGAUGAGGUUGUGGCUAUGGUUCACAUGGGUGCACUUGAGUGUGAAGAAACCGCCGGCCGCUAACGUGCUAAAGAUAAAUAGCGGUGCAUCUUUUGACUCAACUAGAAACUCUCGAGGCUAGGGAUUUUCAAUUAGGGAUGUUCAAGGGGACUGUGAGCACUGGUACGCCGGUCCUAAAAAAACGGUUUAAAACCCCUUUCCGCGACGGCAUUUGGAACCAUCGCCAAGUGAGUGUGGGCGAUAGGGGAGUCCUUCCCACACGACCCAGAA